GCAUCCCUCUGGAGAGAGUUGGCGUUGUACUGUGGUCUACCGGCUUUCGCCUCCCUACAAGAGCCUCCUUCUCCCUCAGCUCACAAUCACCAGAAGUACCAUCAGCGACAGCAAGUGGCGGCCGAAGUUGUACCACAGCAUCAUUUCAGCCUGAGAAACAGGUUGCAGGCGUAAUCAAAUGAACCGCAACUGAAAUCAUAAGAGAACAUUCCAAUUCAGACUGGAUUUCUAUAACAUGAUUAGAUUGAAAGGAGCCAGUUGAGGUGGUU